AGUAGAAAAGGGCAAGCAGCUUCAAAUUCCUGGUCAUCAACAUCUCACAGGAUCUCUACUGAGUCCAACAUACUGAUGCAGUCCCAAAGAAGGCAUGCCAUCAAGUCGGCUUCAUUAGCAGUUGAAGGAGAUUUGGGAUGUCAUCAAACGCUCACACAGAUGUAGAGUGGAGUGCAUUUUGACUGCUUGCACGACCGCCUUGUAAGGAGGCUCCAAAGCACGGGCUGCAGAGGGGUGUACUCUCUGCCACCUCCAUCGUGGGCACAGGCCUCCUCACCAUUGAAGACCUCUUCAAAAGUCAGUGCCUGAACAAGGCAGCAUCCAUCAUAAUCCCUUCACCAUGUAGGACAUGCCAUCUUCUCAUUACCACCAUCAGGGAGGGGGUACCACUUGGCCACCCUUACAACCACAAUGACUAUCUUCAAAGUUGGAAAGCAAAAUCUGGCUGCACAGUCAUGAGUGUACUGGGAGUAGAGCAGAGGCCUGAGGACACAACCUUGUAGAGAACCGGAGUUGAAGGGUGACGAAAACUGUACACAAUCCUCCAGGAGCUUCCUCACCAACACGUUGUAUGAGAUUGCAAAGCCCUCUCCAAUAAACUACACACAGUGUUAUGUGUGUGCAAGUCUGCUGGAGAUGCUGCCUGACCUGCCGAGUUCCUCCAGCAUUUUGAGCAUGCUGCUUUGGAUUUCCAGCAUCUGCAAAUUUGUUCAUGUUUGUGAUACCUCUGGCAUUGUUUGAAGGUUGUGAGUGGACACUCCCUGUUAUUGCUUCAGCUUGAAUGGUGACUUGUGAAAGAAAUGCUAUUACUUUGGUUACAGUGUGAUAUUUGCAAUACACACGCAGUGACCAAUUUAUUAGGUGCCUCCUGUACCUAUGAUGGCCAGUGGGUCUGCUGUACUAGCCCAUCCACCUCAAGGUUCAACGUGAUGUGUGUUCAGAAAUGCUCUUCUGCAAUGUUGUAAAGCUCAAAGUUCAAAGUAAAUCUAUUAUCAAAGUACAUAUAUAUGUCACCAUAUACAACCCUACGAUUUAUUUUCAUGUAGGCAUGCUCAAUAAAUCUAUCGAAUAAUAA